UCAAACCUAUGAUCGACCUUCCCCUGAACUAGUGGGUCGGGUGGCUGGGAUAGAAUCCCCCAUCGCCUUUGUACCCGAAACAAAUGAAUUGUGUUACUAUAUGCCUAAUCUUGUCCCCCCUUACUCUUAUUCUUUGGUUGUGCUAUUCCUAAUCUUAAGUAAUCCCCAUUUUGGCAUGAGGUAAAAGAGUUAAGGGUAGGACAAAGCUUGUUACCUUGAGACAAGGCCUAGUUCCUAUAAGAUGGUAUAGAAGGCAGAGUAUGCAAUGAAUUUUAAUGGUAACAUGUAUGUCCUUUAUGCAUGGCACUCGAAGAAUAUAUUUAAGGAACUUGUUCUUUGUUAGUAUCACAAUAAACAAAUUCCUUUUCUAAUGAUUGUAUCCUCUUUCAUUAAAGAUUACGUAAAAUAACCUGUGUAUUUUUGUAACCCACAGAUGUAUAGGCUUUGAUUUUGUCUUUAUCUUCAAUUCAGACUAUGGUGAUGUAUGUUGAAUUUUUUAUUUAUAUUAAAUUAAUAAAAAGUCUUUUAUUAAAA
rnacentral:lncRNA from 1 species